GACGAACGCUGGCGGCGUGCUUAACACAUGCAAGUCGAACGGAAAGGCCCUGCUUUUGUGGGGUGCUCGAGUGGCGAACGGGUGAGUAACACGUGAGUAACCUGCCCUUGACUUUGGGAUAACUUCAGGAAACUGGGGCUAAUACCGGAUAGGAGCUCCUGCUGCAUGGGGGGGGUUGGAAAGUUUCGGCGGUUGGGGAUGGACUCGCGACUUAUCAGCUUGUUGGUGGGGUAGUGGCUUACCAAGGCUUUGACGGGUAGCCGGCCUGAGAGGGUGACCGGCCACAUUGGGACUGAGAUACGGCCCAGACACCUACGGGAGGCAGCAGUGGGGAAUAUUGCACAAUGGGCGGAAGCCUGAUGCAGCAACGCCGCGUGCGGGAUGCCGGCCUUCGGGUUGUAAACCGCUUUCGCCUGUGACGAAGCGUGAGUGACGGUAAUGGGUAAAGAAGCACCGGCUAACUACGUG
rnacentral:rRNA from 1 species